GAUGAACGCUGGCGGCGUGCCUAACACAUGCAAGUCGAGCGAUUCUCUUCGGAGAAGAGCGGCGGACGGGUGAGUAACGCGUGGGUAACCUGCCCUGUACACACGGAUAACAAACCGAAAGGUAUGCUAAUACGGGAUAAUGUGCUUUUAUCGCAUGGUAUAAGUAUCAAAGCUCCGGCGGUACAGGAUGGACCCGCGUCUGAUUAGCUAGUUGGUAAGGUAACGGCUUACCAAGGCUACGAUCAGUAGCCGACCUGAGAGGGUGAUCGGCCACAUUGGAACUGAGACACGGUCCAAACUCCAACGGGAGGCAGCAGUGGAGAAUAUUGCACAAUGGGCGAAAGCCUGAUGCAGCAACGCCGCGUGAGCGAUGAAGGCCCUCGGGUCGUAAAGCUCUGUCCUCAAGGAAGAUAAUGACGGUACUUGUGGAGGAAGCCCCGGCUAACUACGUGCCAGCCGCCGCGGUAAGAC
rnacentral:rRNA from 1 species